UAUUACAUACGGGAGGCUUACAUCUGGCCCAGUGUGCAGUGAACCGCGAGACCCAGCUCACGGGUACAGAUUAUCAGGAUAAGCAGGCAGCGGAAGGCUGAGGCAGAAGUGUCCCGCAACUUCUCCGCUCCAUCCAGUCUCUAAUGUUGCGGGAAGCUAGAGUAGUAGUUAGACGUUAUUAGUCGCGGAACGUAGGCUGGAGGGUGCAUGCAUCGUGGUGUAGAGUGGUCAGAAGGUAUGUGCUCCUGAGUUUAGCUGCAGACGGGUGAGUAUCACGUAGGUGAUCUGCCUGUAAGACUGGGAUAGCUCCGGGAAUCCGGAGCUAAUCCCAGAUAGUUCCGAGAUCAGCAUGGUUCAAGGAUGUAAGUCGGUUUCGGCUGUCACUUACAGAUAGACCCGCGGCGCAUUAGCUAGUUGGUGAGGUAACGGCUCACCAAGGCGACGAUGCGUAGCCGACCUGAGAGGGUGAUCGGCCACACUAGGAAUGAGACACGGCCCAGACUCCUACGGGAGGCAGCAGUAGGGAAUCUUCCGCAAUGGACGAAAGUCUGACGGAGCAACGCCGCGUGAGUGAUGAAGGUUUUCGGAUCGUAAAGCUCUGUUGUUAGGGAAGAACAAGUGCAAGAGUAACUGCUUGCACCUUGACGGUACCUAACCAGAAAGCCACGGCUAACUACGUGCCAGCAGCCGCGGUAAUACGUAGGUGGCAAGCGUUGUCCGGAAUUAUUGGGCGUAAAGGGCUCGCAGGCGGUUUCUUAAGUCUGAUGUGAAAGCCCCCGGCUCAACCGGGGAGGGUCAUUGGAAACUGGGAAACUUGAGUGCAGAAGAGGAGAGUGGAAUUCCACGUGUAGCGGUGAAAUGCGUAGAGAUGUGGAGGAACACCAGUGGCGAAGGCGACUCUCUGGUCUUAACGACGCGAGAGGAAG
rnacentral:rRNA from 2 species